rnacentral:rRNA from 1 species
GAUGAACGCUGGUGGCGUGCCUAAUACAUGCAAGUCGAGCGCGAGCGUAAGGAGCUUGCUCCUUACAAUCGAGCGGCGGACGGGUGAGUAACACGUGGGCAACCUACCCUUUAGACUGGGAUAACUACCGGAAACGGUAGCUAAUACCGGAUAAGUUGGAUUACACAAGUAAUCUUAAUGAAAGGCGGAUUUAUCUGUCACUAAAGGAUGGGCCUGCGGUGCAUUAGCUAGUUGGUGAGGUAGUGGCUCACCAAGGCAACGAUGCAUAGCCGACCUGAGAGGGUGAUCGGCCACACUGGGACUGAGACACGGCCCAGACUCCUACGGGAGGCAGCAGUAGGGAAUCUUCCGCAAUGGACGCAAGCCUGACGGAGCAACGCCGCGUGAGUGAAGAAGGGUUUCGGCUCGUAAAACUCUGUUGUUAAGGAAGAACACUUUAGGUAGUAACUGGCCUAGAGAUGACGGUACUUAACCAGAAAGCCACGGCUAACUACGUGCCAGCAGCCGCGGUAAUACGUAGGUGGCAAGCGUUAUCCGGAAUUAUUGGGCGUAAAGCGCGCGUAGGCGGUAGAAUAAGUCUGAUGUGAAAGCCCCCGGCUCAACCGGGGAGGGUCAUUGGAAACUGUUUUACUUGAGUGCAGAAGAGGAGAGUGGAAUUCCAUGUGUAGCGGUGAAAUGCGCAGAUAUCAGGAGGAACACCAGUGGCGAAGGCGGUUCUCUGGGCCUUUCCUGACGCUGAGGAGCGAAAGCGUGGGGAGCGAACAGGCUUAGAUACCCUGGUAGUCCACGCUGUAAACGGUGGGUACUAGGUGUGGGGUCCAUUCCACGGGUUCCGUGCCGUAGCUAACGCUUUAAGUACCCCGCCUGGGGAGUACGGCCGCAAGGCUAAAACUCAAAGGAAUUGACGGGGCCCCGCACAAGCGGCGGAGCAUGCGGAUUAAUUCGAUGCAACGCGUAGAACCUUACCUGGGUUUGACAUGGAUCGGGAGUGCCCAGAGAUGGGUGUGCCUCUUUUGGGGUCGGUUCACAGGUGGUGCAUGGCUGUCGUCAGCUCGUGUCGUGAGAUGUUGGGUUAAGUCCCGCAACGAGCGCAACCCUUGUUCACUGUUGCCAGCACGUUAUGGUGGGGACUCAGUGGAGACCGCCGGGGUCAACUCGGAGGAAGGUGGGGAUGACGUCAAGUCAUCAUGCCCCUUAUGUCCAGGGCUUCACGCAUGCUACAAUGGCUGGUACAGAGAGUGGCGAGCCUGUGAGGGUGAGCGAACCUCGGAAAGCCGGUCUCAGUUCGGAUUGGGGUCUGCAACUCGACCUCAUGAAGUCGGAGUCGCUAGUAAUCGCAGAUCAGCAACGCUGCGGUGAAUACGUUCCCGGGGCU